GAUCAUAAGAAAAAACAAAAGCACACAUAAGGAUCAUCUAUGUUGCUUCAGUGAUCAGUGGGAAAAAAAAAGGAAUUAAAAGAAUCCCAUAUGAAACAAAUCAAUUGGGUUCCCUGCAAACAUAAGAAAUCAAAGAGGAAUGGGAGGGGUGAGUGCUUGGCACUAGCAGCAGCAGUGAACGGAGAAGCCAACAAAGGGGGAAAGAAAAACUGACAACGUUUUAAAUCAGAUUACCAACUGAGAAAUCUCAAGUACUCAUUGAUAAUUUCGGGUUUCACACAGUUUGAGCAUUAGGAUUGAGAGAAGUCUUCUAGCUUUGAUUAGUUUGCAUAGACAGAUGGAGGCAAUUAAAUGCCGUUUGGUUGAUGUUUUGGAUGUUGCAAGGUUGGGGUACAUUCUGUUAGUGAGAUACCAUUGCGGGAGAUAGAGCGAGUGGCUGACGAGUUCGUUCGAGUGGAUCCUAUUGCUGAGGUGAGCCACCGCAUUAUUCGUGGAGGCUUUCGUUUUAGCUUUAUGUAGUUCGUGUUAGUUAAUUUCCUUUUCCUUGGGGUUGUUCAUACCUGCUAAUUAAAUUCAUAUUACUCUGUUAAAUGCUUCAUGGUCUUAGAGUGAGAUUUGGGCUAG